rnacentral:piRNA from 1 species
UUUUAUGAGGUCCCAUUUGUCAAUUCUUGA